UACGGGGGGAGCAAGCGUUGUUCGGAUUUACUGGGCGUAAAGGGCGCGUAGGCGGCGCAACAAGUCACUUGUGAAAUCUCCGGGCUUAACCCGGAGCGGCCAAGUGAUACUGUCGUGCUAGAGUGCGGAAGGGGCUACUGGAAUUCUCGGUGUAGCGGUGAAAUGCGUAGAUAUCGAGAGGAACCCCUGCGGCGAAGGCGGGUUGCUGGGCUGACACUGGCGCGGACAGCGCGAAAGCUAGGGGAGCAAACGGG
rnacentral:rRNA from 1 species